rnacentral:rRNA from 1 species
UACGUAGGGCGCAAGCGUUGUCCGGAAUUAUUGGGCGUAAAGAGCUCGUAGGCGGUUUGUCGCGUCUGCCGUGAAAGUCCGGGGCUCAACUCCGGAUCUGCGGUGGUACGGGCAGACUAGAGUGAUGUAGGGGAGACUGGAAUUCCUGGUGUAGCGGUGAAAUGCGCAGAUAUCAGGAGGAACACCGAUGGCGAAGGCAGGUCUCUGGGCAUUAACUGACGCUGAGGAGCGAAAGCAUGGGGAGCGAACAGG